rnacentral:rRNA from 1 species
GAGUAAUACAUGGGUAACGUACCUUGUGCACAGGGAUAGCGUCGGGCCCGCAAGGGUCCUUUGCGAAAGUGACGGUAAUACCUGAUGAUAUCCAGGACCGCCUGUUUCCUGGAUCAAAGAUGGGGACCGCAAGGCCUAUCGGCGUGGGAUCGGCCCAUGUCCUAUCAGCUAGUUGGCGGGGUAAUGGCCCACCAAGGCGACGACGGGUAGCCGGCGUGAGAGCGCGACCGGCCUCAUCGGGACUGAGACACUGCCCGGACACCUACGGGUGGCUGCAGCAACGAAUAUUCCGCAAUGGGCGCAAGCCUGACGGAGCGACGCCGCGUGGAGGAUGAAGUCCUUCGGGAUGUAAACUUCAAUAGUUUGUGAGGAAGCAAGCGGGCCUAAUACGUCUGUGCGUUGACCAGCAAACGACAGGGUGGCUAACUCCGUGCCAGCAGCCGCGGUAAGACGGAGACCCCUAGCGUUGUUCGGAAUCACUGGGCUUAAAGCGGGUGUAGGCGGAACGGUAAGUACUGUGUGAAAUCCCCGGGCUCAACCCGGGAAUUGCUUGGUAUACUGCCGGUCUUGAGGCGGGCAGGGGUCACUGGAACCUUAGGUGGAGCGGUGAAAUGCGUAGAUAUCUAAGGGAACGCCUGUGGCGAAAGCGGGUGACUGGGCCUGUCCUGACGCUGAGACCCGAAAGCGUAGGGAGCAACAGGAUUAGAUACCUGGUAGUCUACGCCGUAAACGAUGCGCACUAGGUUCGAGAGCCUCUGACGGUUUUCGUGCCGAAACAAAGCGAUAAGUGCGCCGCCUGGGGAGUACGGCCGCAAGGCUAAAACUCAAAGGAAUUGACGGGGGCUCACACAAGCGGUGGAGCAUGUGGAUCAAUUCGAAGCAACGCGAAGAACCUUACCUGGGUUUGAAAUGUACGAGCCUCUACCUGGAAACAGGAUAGAGUUUCCUUCGGGUGUAAGCGUACACAGGUGCUGCAUGGCUGUCGUCAGCUCGUGCUGUGAAGUGUCGGGUUAAGUCCCUUAACGAGCGAAACCCUUGUCGCUAGUUACCAGCGGGUCAAGCCGGGGACUCUAGCGAGACUGCCGGCGUUAAGCCGGAGGAAGGUGGGGACGACGUCAAGUCAUCAUGGCCUUUAUGUCCAGGGUGUCACACGUGCUACAAUGGGGUGUACAGAACGACGCAAGACCGCGAGGUGGAGCAAAUCGCAGAAAACAUCCCUCAGUUCGGAUUGGGGUAA